GAUGAAGAACGCAGCGAAAUGCGAUAAGUAAUGUGAAUUGCAGAAUUCCGUGAAUCAUCGAAUCUUUGAACGCAUAUUGCGCCCUCUGGCAUUCCGGGGGGCAUGCCUGUCCGAGCGUCAUUUGUACCUUCAAGCCUUGCUUGGUGUUGGGUGUUUGUCUCGCCUCUGCGCGCAGACUCGCCUCAAAACAAUUGGCAGCCGGCGUAUUGAUUUCGGAGCGCAGUACAUCUCGCGCUUUGCACUCAGAACGACGACGUCCAAAAGUACAUUUUUACACUCUUGACCUCGGAUCAGGUAGGGAUACCCGCUGAACUUAAGCAUAUCAAUAAGCGGAGGA
rnacentral:misc_RNA from 1 species